CUUCAACUGCUCCAAGAUCCUCGCCGAUGAGGAUGAUGAGGUCUCCUUUCCUUUUAAGACGUGUACCUGCGCAUUAAGUUUACCAGGUUAAUUGUUGGUCGGUGCAUAUCAUCAUCUAGCUAAACUGACAUCAUAACAAUCUUAGUUCUCACCAUUCACUAGCUAUAUUUAUGUUUGUCCAAUUCUGCACCUGUUCACUGAACAUGCAUGGUAAAUUUGAACUUUAUAGAAUCUUUCCAACGGUUUGGUGUGAUGGACCUGUAGAUGCAAUUGCUUUAGAUAGACUUCUUGCAUCUUUGUUAUGGACCUGCAACUCGACAUCCGAAGCCAAGAAUAUUUUUGUGAAUUUUCGGUCUCUUUGAUAGAGCCUGCUAUUGGUAGAACAAAAUAAGAAUGCAUUGAUGACGUGCCCCCCUAGCAGUGCAUAUUUCAUCAGUUGUUGUCUUUGGUAAAAUAAUCAGUACCAUGGAGCAUAAUUACAAACAACUUUACAGUUUCGUCUGAACCAAUUCUGAAAAGGUUGUUCUUGCAUGUUAGCUGCUAAUUAAGCAUUGUCAUAGGGUGGGCAUCUAUAUAUGCUUGUGUGCCUGAGUGCCUCUCUUGAUCUUGGCAUGUUAUUGACCAGUCUGGUAUCUCUUGCAGAAGGGUAAUAACAAGUUCAAGCAGGCUCUGAAAAUCAAGAACCCAAAAAAUAGAUUACGAAAAAUACAGGAGGCUUGCAAGAGCAAAAAGGUUUGUUCUGCGGGUGAGGAUGAUCUUGAGGGUCAGGACACCGAUGAGCCAGUGAAGAAAAGAGGUGGCUGUGGUGCUCAGCAGCCAAAGAUCACAGUUGAUGGUAUGAAGAUGGUUGCAGAGUUUAAAGCAACAAACAAGAAGAAUGGCGAUCAAGAUCAACUCCCUGAACCAGUGGAGCGAAAGCAAAUUCUCUCUGCCGAGAGGGUAUGUACACUAUUAUCUUUAUUUACUCCAUUAAAUACUAGGUUAUAAAAAAAUCAUCUAACCACCUCAUGGUAAAUUUCUUGGGGCAGGUUCUUAAUGUUCUCAAGCGUAUAAGUGAUGAGGAUUGUCUUUUGUUGGGCCUGGAUCCUAAAUAUGCUCGUCCUGAUUGGAUGAUACUGCAAGUCCUUCCAAUUCCUCCGCCGCCUGUGAGACCAUCUGUCAUGAUGGACACUUACUCCAGAAGUGAGGUUAGCCCAGUACUAGUAAAUUAUGACUACGAAUCCAAUGGUUUGUUGGUUGACAUGGCAGAUGGCACCCUUUCACUCACUGUUUGUUUAUCUUGCCGGUUCCUACAGGAUGAUUUGACUCACCAAUUAGCGAUGAUAAUUCGGCAUAAUGAGAAUCUGAGGAGGCAAGAGAGAAAUGGAGCCCCAGCCCACAUUAUAGCAGAGUUUGCUCAGUUGUUGCAGUUUCACAUUGCAACAUACUUCGACAAUGAUCUUCCAGGGCAACCAAGGGUGAGUAGUCAGUCUACAAGUGCACUUUCCACAUUAAUUAAUCACUAAUGCUAAGUAGUUGACCUGAUUAUCUUCUGCCGAAAUAUUCAGGCCACUCAGCGUUCUGGAAGGCCUAUCAAGUCAAUCUGCAGCAGGCUGAAAGCAAAAGAAGGCCGGGUUAGAGGAAACUUAAUGGGGAAGCGUGUUGAUUUCUCAGCUCGUACCGUCAUCACACCAGACCCGAAUAUCAACAUUGAUGAAUUGGGGGUGCCAUGGAGUAUUGCUUUGAAUCUGACAUACCCAGAAACUGUUACUCCAUAUAACAUCGAGAGGUACGUAUUUUAUUUGCCAUUAACAUGUAAUCACUGUUCUUUCAUUGAUACUCCCUCUGUUCACAAAUAUAAGAUGUUCUAACUUUUUUGUGAAUCGGAUGUAUAGACACGUUUUAGUGUGUUUGUUCACUCAUUUCAGUCCGUAUGUAGUCCAUAUUGAAAUAUCCAAAACAUCUUACAUUUGUGAAUGGAGGGAGUAUUUGAUAAGUCAUGUCUAAAUCUGAUCUGAUUAUACCAGGUUGAAAGAACUGGUAGAAUAUGGGCCUCACCCUCCCCCAGGUAAGACGGGUGCCAAGUACAUUAUCAGGGAAGAUGGCCAGAGGCUGGAUCUUCGCUAUCUGAAGAAAAGUAGUGAUCAGCAUUUGGAGCUGGGUUACAAGGUUAGUACUAACAGUCACAGUUGCAGCAUCCACUGUUUUAACUAAUGGUGACAUCACAAAAAGUGCUCACCCAUUUUGUGCUUGACUUCUCAGGUGGAAAGGCACCUUGUUGAUGGAGAUUUUGUUCUUUUCAACCGGCAGCCCAGUCUUCACAAAAUGUCUAUCAUGGGGCAUCGCAUCAAAAUCAUGCCCUACUCUACUUUCCGCCUCAACUUGUCUGUCACAUCACCAUACAAUGCAGAUUUUGAUGGGGAUGAAAUGAACAUGCAUGUUCCCCAGUCAUUUGAAACCAGAGCUGAGGUUUUAGAGUUGAUGAUGGUGCCAAAGUGUAUUGUGUCACCUCAGGCGAAUAAACCUGUUAUGGGUAUUGUCCAGGACACACUUCUUGGCUGUCGAAAAAUUACCAAAAGGGACACUCUCAUCGAAAAGGUGAACUAACAAUACUCCUUAAACAACACCUUCAAUAGUCGUAUUGUCUCUGUAGUUUUGUAGCUUAUAACUAAUGUUGUGAAAUUUCUCCCAGGAUGUAUUUAUGAACAUCUUAAUGUGGUGGGAAGAUUUUGAUGGGAAGGUCCCUACCCCUGCCAUUUUGAAACCAAAGCCGAUUUGGACUGGCAAACAAGUUUUCAACUUGAUUAUCCCCAAGCAAAUCAAUUUAAUUAGAUUUUCAGCCUGGCAUGAUGCUGAUGCUGAAAAAGAAAGCGGAUAUAUUACUCCCAGCGAUACUAUGGUACGGAUAGAGAAGGGAGAGCUUCUGUCUGGUAUACUUUGCAAAAAAACACUUGGGACAUCAAUGGGAAGUCUUAUUCAUGUUAUUUGGUAAGUUAUAAAAGUCGUACUGCAGUUUCUCUUUUUAGUACAGAUGUUCUCCACUGCUAAAUAAUAAUUUUGGUUUAACUGUUUGCAGGGAAGAGGUAGGGCCAGAUGCUGCGCGCAAGUUCUUGGGUCAUACACAGUGGCUGGUCAACUACUGGCUUCUGCAAAAUGGUUUCAGUAUUGGAAUCGGGGAUACAAUUGCAGAUGCAGGUACUAUGGGUAAGAUUAAUGAUACAAUUGCAGAUGCUAAGAAGGCUGUGAAUGAGCUUAUCAAGGAAGCGCGUGACAAGAAGUUGGAACCUGAGCCAGGACGCACAAUGAUGGAAUCAUUUGAAAAUAGAGUGAAUCAGGUACUACUGCUGAAUGACAUUGUUUGGUUAUUUCAUCUCAGUUUCUUUGGUAGACCUGUUUUGACAUAUCCGUUUUCCAUGCUAGGUUCUUAACAAGGCUCGUGAUGAUGCUGGUAGUAGUGCUCAGAAGAGUUUGUCUGAGAGCAACAAUUUGAAAGCUAUGGUUACUGCAGGCUCAAAAGGCAGUUUCAUUAAUAUUUCGCAGAUGACUGCUUGCGUCGGACAGCAGAAUGUUGAGGGCAAGAGGAUCCCAUUUGGAUUUGCUGGUCGUACAUUGCCCCACUUCUCACAAAAUGACAACGGUCCCGAAAGCCGUGGAUUCGUGCAGAACUCUUACCUUCGAGGCCUGACACCAGAGGAAUUCUUCUUCCAUGCUAUGGGUGGUAGAGAAGGUUUGAUCGAUACUGCUGUAAAAACUUCUGAGACUGGAUAUAUUCAGCGGAGGCUCGUGAAGGCCAUGGAGGACAUCAUGGUGAAAUAUGAUGGUACCGUGAGGAACUCCCUGGGUGAUGUCAUUCAGUUCUUGUAUGGAGAAGAUGGCAUGGAUGCUGUUUGGAUUGAACGGCAGAAAUUGGACACCCUGGGGAUGAAAAAGGCCGAGUUUGACAACGUAUUUCGUUACAAACUGGAUGAUGAGAACUGGAGGCCCACUUACAUGUCGCCUGAACAAGCUGAUGAUUUGAAGACCAUUCGUGAUAUCAGAAUUGUGUUUGAGGCAGAGAUUCAGAAAUUAGAAGCUGACAGAUUACAGCUUGGGACUGAAAUUGCCACAACUGGUGACAUUACAUGGCCUAUGCCUGUCAACCUCAAGCGGCUUAUCUGGAAUGCUCAAAAGACUUUCAAGAUUGAUUUGAGAAGACCUUCUGACAUGCACCCGAUGGAAAUUGUGGAAGCAAUGGAUAAGUUGCAAGAAAGACUCAAGGUUGUCCCAGGAGACGAUGCCAUGAGCAUCGAGGCUCAGAAGAAUGCUACUCUGCUCUUCAAUAUCCUGCUCCGUAGCACAUUUGCUAGUAAGAGGAUAUUGAAAGAAUACAAGCUCACAAGGGAAUCUUUCGAAUGGGUCAUCGGUGAGAUAGAAUCGAGAUUCCACCAGUCUUUGGUAGCUCCUGGUGAGAUGAUUGGAUGCGUAGCUGCACAGUCCAUUGGAGAACCAGCAACUCAGAUGACGCUGAAUACUUUCCAUUAUGCUGGUGUUAGCGCCAAGAAUGUCACCCUUGGCGUCCCCAGGUUAAGGGAGAUCAUUAACGUCGCCAAGAAGAUAAAGACCCCGUCGUUGUCUGUUUUCCUAAAGCCUGAGGUGAGCAAGAAGAAAGAAUUGGCCAAGAAUGUCCAGUGUGCCUUGGAGUACACUACGCUACGUAGCGUGACCCAUGCCACCGAGAUAUGGUAUGAUCCUGAUCCUCUAGGAACCACCAUUGAAGAGGAUGUGGAAUUUGUCAAGUCAUAUUAUGAAAUGCCUGAUGAGGAUAUUGACCCGGAUAAGCUGUCUCCUUGGCUGCUGCGUAUCGAACUGAACCGUGAGAUGAUGGUAGAUAAGAGGUUGAGCAUGGCUGAAAUUGCAGAGAAGAUCAGACAUGAAUUUGAUGAUGACUUGUCAUGCAUAUUCAAUGAUGAUAACGCGGAUAAGCUCAUCCUCCGUAUCCGCAUUAAAAAUGAUGAUGAAACUCCAAAACAGGAUGAGGAUGAUGAUGUCUUCCUCAAGAAGGUUGAGAGUAACAUGUUGACUGAGAUGGCCCUUGGAGGCAUUGCAGAUAUUAACAAGGUCUUCAUCAAAGAGAAGAAGGUGAAUAGAUUUGAUGAAAAUGAUGGUUUCACUCAAAAAGAAGAGUGGAUGCUUGAUACAGAAGGUGUAAACCUCUUGGCAGUGAUGUGCCAUGAGGAUGUUGACGCUACAAGGACAAGGAGUAACCAUCUGAUCGAAGUGAUUGAGGUUCUUGGGAUCGAGGCUGUCCGCAGGUCUCUCUUGGAUGAGCUGAGGGUGGUGAUAUCUUUUGAUGGGUCCUAUGUGAACUACAGGCAUCUGGCCAUUCUCUGCGAUACCAUGACAUACAGAGGUCACCUGAUGGCUAUUACUAGGCACGGUAUCAAUCGUAAUGACACAGGACCUCUCAUGAGAUGUUCUUUUGAAGAAACAGUGGAUAUCUUGCUUGAUGCUGCUGUGUAUGCGGAGUCUGAUUACCUGAGAGGUGUCACCGAGAACAUUAUGCUUGGCCAGCUCGCUCCUAUUGGUACAGGAGGCUGUGGAUUGUAUCUGAAUGAGGAGAUGCUGAAGCAGGCCAUUGAGCUUCAACUCCCGAGCUAUGUUGAAGGUCUGGACUAUGGCUAUGGCAUGGCAUCAGCGCAUUCAUCCAUCUCCGGGACACCGUACCAUGAUGGAGGAAUGAUGUCGCCAGUGCUGAGUCCAAAUUUCCAGGCUUCCCCCGUUACAGGUGCUCAGUUCUCGCCAUAUGUUGGGGGCAUGGCAUUCUCUCCCGUCCCAUCAAACUACAGCCAAUCCUAUACGUCUGGCCCUCCUUCCUACAGUCCGACCAGUCUAUCAUACUCGCCAACAUCGCCAAUCUAUAGUCCGGUAUCGCCGAUCUGUAGUCCGGCAUCGACAGUUUAUAGUCCAACAUCCCCAGUUUAUAGCCCGACAUCCCUUUCAUAUAGCCCAACAUCGCCAGUUUAUAGUCCAACAUCGCCAGUUUAUAGCCGGACAUCUCUUGCAUACAGCCCCACGUCACCAUCCUAUAGUCCAACAUCGCCACUCUAUAGCCCAACAUCACCAUCAUACAGUCCUACAUUGCCCUCAUCAUACAGCCCUACGUCGCCUGGUUACAGCCCGACAUCACCGAACUACAGCCUGACAUCACCGAGCUACAGCCCUACUUCACCGAACUACUGCCCGACGUCACCGAGCUACAGCCCUACUUCACCGAACUACUGCCCGACGUCACCGAGCUACAGCCCUACUUCACCAAACUACUGCCCGACGUCACCGGGCUACUGCCUGAUGUCACCGAGCUACAGCCCUACCUCACCGAACUACUGCCCGAGGUCACCGAGCUACAGCCCUACGUCACCCUCGUACAGUCCUUCACAUGCUUAUUCUCCAAGCAGCCCAAAGAUGAUGAGCCCGUACAGUCAAGCUCCUCCAAACUACAGGUAUUCUGUUGAUAGCUUUGGCAUCUGUUCAUUCAUCUGUUGAUGCUUGGUCUGCUUACAUCUCUGUUUCCCCAGCCCUGCCUCGCCGACUUACUCGCCCACCUCACCAUCAUAUGCACAACCAAGCCCAUCGUACAGCCCGACAAGGUGAGUCCAUUUCAGUUGAUCAUCAUGCAUCCUUGUUUUUAACUUAAAAAAACACUAGCUGUUAUUGUAACAAUCAAGACAUGGGUUUCCUAACGCAUUGCCUGAGUGUUGCAGCCCGCACACUACCUCUGGAGGACCUAGCCCAGAUUACAGCCCAACUUCCCCCAACUACAGGUAAUGCAUCAAGUCAACCUCAUCUGUCCGGCCGUGAUGAAAGUACACACCAUCCAUUUGCUAUUCUGACGAUUGCAAUUUUUUGAUUUUUGCCAUGCAGCCCCAGCGCAAGCUACUCCCCAUCAUCCACCGGGCCGCAAACUACUGACAUGGAUGACGAGACUGCUACUUGAAGCCGCUGACUUGUGAAAAUGGCUGCUGGCUGAUGCAGAACCACCACACAAGGAAACCUAUUCGUGUUUGCUUGUAUGUCUCUGGAACAGGCCUUUGUAUUUUUAAAAGCAGCACUAGAGUGUAUAUAUAUAUACAAUCGAUGUAAUACGCCUCUUAGUUCCGGCUGUUCAGAACAGGCAAGCCUUUGAUGUUGUGUUGUGGAUCGGAUUGUAAUGCUAAUGUUUCUCUUGGAGAGAAAAAAUAAUGUUUUCCGUUGUGGGGCUUUUGGCCUACAGUGUAGAGUAAAAAUGUUUCAGUUGGAGCUUGGCCUUGUGCCCUUGUUAUUUCGUUGAAGUUAAUGCAAUGACAAAUUGUGGUGCCUAGCUUGCUAAGACAAUGAAUCAUUCGUCGCUGCUAACUCAGUUGUUCAACAGUAUAUCGUAGUCAGGUAAGGGAGAAUAAAAGGUUUAUCUUGCAGGAAAGAGUAACUGACAGAAAUGGUACCUCACUUCCAGCGUUGGCAGAAAAAAAGGGCAUCACCCUUCUUGUCCAAUCUAUACUUGGACCUUUGCUCCAGUAUGAAUGGUUGGUAGUUGCUACUGCAUACGCCGAGUUAACUUGCUUUUUGAUGCAACAGAAAAUUACAUCCAUCAUAUGCUACUCCCUGCAUUUGCUGCAUCAGAACAUAAGAUGAAAAAUUAAAAUCAUGCACAUACACCGAGUAUAUCCACUCUUGCAGAGAGAGUAAAUCAAAGUGUUGGGCUGAAUACCAGAUUCAUCCAUAGACCACUUGGUCAAUAUCCGUGUACUUGCAGGCAACCAUCAUCCAUCAUCUUCCCCAAUAACUCAUACACAGUUGAGAAAUCUCCUACUUAACCAGACAGCAAAGUAUUAUUGUAGGUGUACACGGUGUACAGUACACCAAGCCUCUUGUAAGUUGUGACCUAUUCCUCCUGCUAAAGAAUCCCAAGAUCAUGGUAAAAUGCAUGACUGCAUCUCAUGGAACAAAACCACAUUUCUAUUGUGGAGGAAAGCUCUCCUUCUCCAUCCUCUCCGCCGCCUGGAAAGCCAAGCAGCAGUCACAUUCCCCGCACGGCAGG
rnacentral:lncRNA from 1 species